UUGAACGCUGGCGGCCGGCCUAACCCAUGCAAGUCGAGCGGAUGAAGGGAGCUUGCUCCUGGUUUCAGCGGCGGACGGGUGAGUAAUGCCUAGGAAUCUGCCUGGUAGUGGGGGAUAACGUCCGGAAACGGGCGCUAAUACCGCAUACGUCCUGAGGGAGAAAGUGGGGGAUCUUCGGACCUCACGCUAUCAGAUGAGCCUAGGUCGGAUUAGCUAGUUGGUGGGGUAAAGGCCUACCAAGGCGACGAUCCGUAACUGGUCUGAGAGGGUGAUCAGUCACACUGGAACUGAGACACGGUCCAGACUCCUACGGGAGGCAGCAGUGGGGAAUAUUGGACAAUGGGCGAAAGCCUGAUCCAGCCAUGCCGCGUGUGUGAAGAAGGUCUUCGGAUUGUAAAGCACUUUAAGUUGGGAGGAAGGGCAGUAAGUUAAUACCUUGCUGUUUUGACGUUACCAACAGAAUAAGCACCGGCUAACUUCGUG
rnacentral:rRNA from 1 species